rnacentral:rRNA from 1 species
AGCGAACGCUGGCGGCAGGCCUAACACAUGCAAGUCGAACGAACUCUUCGGAGUUAGUGGCGGACGGGUGAGUAACACGUGGGAACGUGCCUUUUGGUUCGGAAUAACUCAGGGAAACUUGUGCUAUUCCGAAUGUGUCCUUUCGGGGAAAGAUUUAUCGCCAUUAGAGCGGCCCGCGUCUGAUUAGCUAGUUGGUGAGGUAACGGCUCACCAAGGCGACGAUCAGUAGCUGGUCUGAGAGGAUGACCAGCCACACUGGGACUGAGACACGGCCCAGACUCCUACGGGAGGCAGCAGUGGGGAAUCUUGCGCAAUGGGCGAAAGCCUGACGCAGCCAUGCCGCGUGAAUGAUGAAGGUCUUAGGAUUGUAAAAUUCUUUCACCGGGGACGAUAAUGACGGUACCCGGAGAAGAAGCCCCGGCUAACUUCGUG